UCUCUCUGAAGCUGUUUCUCCUCAAGAAUACAAACUCUCAGUAUUGCUUCCAACAAUUUGCUUAAACUUUUACACAUCUCUUUAAGUGUCUUUCACGUACAAGAAUUUGCCUUAGCUCUAUAAAAGACAGGAAAAGACUUUGCUGAUGAAUUCUAGGAUCAGAAACUGUUUCCUUGCUUAGAUGAACAAUGGGCAGGAUUCUUGUAGUACAACUUAUUGAGGAAUGAGUUCAAUCAGCAGGUCAAUUUUUUAAUUAAUAGGUCCACCACAGAUGCAUCUAAUGAGCUCGCAAAUUUGUUCAAACAUUUUUGUAUUUCCAAUGCUCCAAUCUUUGUCCUCAAACACAGCUAUUUAAAUGGAAUCAAUUCCUUGCCUUAAGAUUAAACCAGCAAGCAACCCCCUGUCUCAACAUAGAGAUUAGAUUCCAGGUUCAGUCUGGAAAGGUGACAAUCCACUGCAUUUCCCCACUUGUCAAUCAAGUAUCAUGAUCAUAUUGCAAGGCUCGAUUAUCUCGAUCAUCAUCACUGUCAUCUAAACAACUCCAAUCAAAUAUGGUGAAAAUCGUGUCAACUAAAGAGAGGAAUUUCAAGUUGAGAAGGCUCCAUGGAAGGAUUGAAUAGAAUUUACAACCAGAUAUCAGCCUAUGCCAACCCUUUAGAAGUUGGUGUCUAAUACCACGGUGUGCUUAUUGAGGCAUUCUGAGGCCCAGCCUUGCAUUGGACCGGCCUGAACCGCAGAAGCCAGCCCCAUUGUGCGGCACGCGCGGUGCACGUGCAAGAGAAACGGCGAUGAAAAUGGACUCAUAGGGCCGCCGGACUCGGGCGGAACCCUAGGAAGUCUUCUAUCCCCUCCCUCCGUGACCCUCCGCCACCAGGCACCACCUCUCGCCUUCUCUGUUUUUCCCCCUUCAAUUCAUUGUGUCCCGUCAUUGUGCCCACCAGAAUUGCGGCCAUGAAUCUCGUUGGAGACGAGGGCCUCAGCGUCUCCCCUGGCCGCGCCGAAGCCCACCCACCAGCGAGCGGGCUGGGACUCAAAAACGACCUAGCAAAGGGCCCCCUGUUUGGCCCUAUUUUUGGUUAAUUUCCGCGCCUCUUCCCGCCGGUCGCCAUCGCCGGCCAUGGCUCACCGCCUUCUGCCGGACCUCCGGCUUUGCCGCACAAAGGAGAAGUGCUGUAGCUGCAGAGGACAUGAAUGAUUACUCUGAAGAACAAGUGUGGAAAGCAACAUGUGAAAGAAUGGGGCAUGUCGGGUGCAGAACGCUUGUGAGGCAAGGGAAAACGAAAUGCUGAUAGAAGAUAUGGCUCUAAAGGGUACAAAUUUUUUUCCAGACUGAUCAAUAGAAAAGAAAGCACACUGGUUCAAUAGACAAUUGUACAAAUUUUCGGCAUUAGCUUGAUGGUUCAAAAUAGAUUACAGUAAUACAUUUGUGCAAAAGGUCAUGGCCAUUAUUUGUGACAUCUCUGCAAUAGGUCAUGGCCAUUAUUAGCUCCUACAAGAGAUGUCACAGGUUAACAAUUCAAUUAGUUUGAUGAGACAUAGGUAGCAUUCCAAAUUGGAUACUUGUCAUCUAGACUCUAGGCAAUCUAGGCCCUGCAAGUCACUCUUCGAAGAAUUGAUGCUAGACUCUAGGCAAUCUAGGCCCUGCAAGUCACUCUUCGAAGAAUUGAUGCUAGACUCUAGGCAAUCUAGGCCCUGCAAAGAUCCAUCAAAACAUAUUUAAAAAUCAAAAGUAUUCUUAUUUACUAUGCUUGAGGAGGACAUCUCUCUCUUUUUCCACCAGACAACCUCAUAAUAUAUCAUCAUCACCAUCAUCAAGACCAUUCCACUUCCACAAAGUGCUCAAUGGAGAGCUUAGUAACUACGAUUCUCGUAAAAAGCAGAACUCAUUGUAAACUAUUUUUAACAUUAAUUUUCUCAUAUAAUUACCAGAAUCAAAAUAUUAGCUACUCUUAUUCAUUUUCAGUGAUGUUUGUUGAACUCUGAAAGUUGGCCUAGUGAACUAUGAUGAGAAAGUUAAUAUUAAAAAACACAACAUUUUGAGACUACCUUCGAUCAUUGGAUGCAUAGGUUAUCUAAUAAUCAAAAGGACAGAAGGAAACCAAAGCACAAAUGCAAGACACAAUCAAGUAUCUAAAAGUGAUUGCCAACCGCACUAAUAGAAAGGGUCCUAUUUAUUUAGCAUCCCAUUUUCCUCUGCUCAUGGAAGGCCCAUCUCCUAAUCAUGCAAAAUAUUUUUACUGUUUUCAAUCAUCUGAACUCUUGCUGCUCACUAAACAUCUAUAAAAUCCAUUAGCAUUCUUAAUGUGAUGACAAAUGCAUCAAUUGAUUAAACUCUUGAUGGGGGAUCUUCUAGAGUUUAGUAAUUUAAAGGCUGAUCAAAUCAUUAGCUUCUCUUUACACCCUUAAGUGAUGUUUAUAAAAAGGAUUCUUGGAUUUGAUGUUCCAAAAUAUCAUUGUAUACCAUCAAAAGACUGUGCAUAAAGAAUGCUCGGCUUUGAUGAUUAUGAUAGUUAAAUAAAUUCAUGAUCUAGUAGUUUCUAGACGCACAAGAAAACAAACUAAAGGAAAGCUAUGUCUCUCUGUUCCAUUGCAUAUUACUAGCCUAGGUUCAGCUUGGGAAGGCUCAUCUUACUCCACUCACCAAGUUGAUCUCAAGCACAUCAGGAGCACUCUCUUUUUAUUUUUUCUUUCUUUUUUUUUUUGUAAUUUUAAGAAGGGGAGGGAGGUUGGGUUGGUGAGGGAUGCCCAUCUAACAUUUUGAGCAUCUUCAAUGUAAUCACAAUGAUGUUGUCUAGCACAAUGCUUCUCUCCAUGGUAAGUUUUAAAACAAUUUCAGAAGCCCCACAAACCUCACUAAUGGUGUUCCACCAUUAGGACAACCUCAGCCAUCGGCUAGGUCGGCGGUGGCGAGCAAAGAACAUGAUGAUCAGGGUCUACUGAUGGAUUGCAUUCCCCUCAAAGUUGGAAAGGCAGUUUUCCAGGUGCCUUCUUUUUGGCCCUCCAUGAUGCAUCUUGUUGAUGCAGAUUGCGCCACAUGGCAACACGACGAUGCACGCCGGAUACGAUGGGCCCACAGAGAUAGGCUGAGGCCCCAGUAUUAUGUGGAAGUCCUUGUCAUGGUCACAGUGGAACAUUCAUACCCACAUGCAGCUCACAUGAAAAUACUCCAACCUCCCUGUUAGAACUUGAUCAUGAGGGAUACAGAAUUUAUUCUUUUAUCCUCCAGAAAGACUCUCUCUGAAGCUGUUUCUCCUCAAGAAUACAAACUCUCAGUAUUGCUUCCAACAAUUUGCUUAAGGCUUUACACAUCUCUUUAAGUGUCUUUCACGUACAAGAAUUUGCCUUAGCUUCAUAAAAGACAGGAAAAGACUAUGCUGAUGAAUUAUAGGAUCAGAAACUGUCUCCCUACUGCCUUUGCUUAGAUGAACAAUGGGCAGGAUUCUUGUAGUAGAACUUAUUGAGGAAUGAGUUCAAUCAGCAGCCCACUUUUCUAAUUAAUAGGUCCACCACAGAUGCAUCUAAUGAGCUCGCAAAUUUCUUCACACAUUUUUAUAUUUCCAGUGCUCCAAUCUUUGUCCUCAACCACGGCAAUUUAAAUGGAAUCAAUUCCUUACCUUAAGAAUAAACCAGCUAGCAACCCCCUGUCUCAACAUAGAGAUUAGAUUCCAGGUUCAGUCUGGAAUGGUGGCAAUCCACUGCAUUUCCCUACUUAUCAAUCAAGCAUCAUGAUCAUAUUGCAAGGUUCGAUUAUCUCCAUCAUCAUCACUGUCAUCCGAACAACUCCAAUCAAACAUGGAGUUGAGAAGGCUCCAUGGAAGGAUUGAAUAGAAUUUACAACCACAUUGCAAGAGGAGGCCUUUCUCCUUCUCCACAUUGCAACGAAAAAAAAAAAACCAUCCCCAUUUCUAGAGCUGGAUAUGGGCUGAUCUGGGCCGGGCCACACUCCUGCCCGGGCCUGACCCAAACCCGAUUGGGCCCGUCCGAAUUUGUGGAGUGGACCAUAGCCCAUUGCGUCACAAACGGCAUUGACGAGGACAUUAUAUUCCUUUCAGAGCAGUUGGUUGCUGGAC